rnacentral:tRNA from 1 species
GGGAAUAUGGCUUAGUGGUAGAGUGCUUGCUUAACAUGCAUGAAGUCCUGGGUUCCAUUCCCAGUACUGCAU